rnacentral:rRNA from 1 species
CAAUACCGAAAUCGCGGAUUCAUGCGAAUGCAUGAGUGGUAGGGGAGCGUUCCAAGGGCGUUGAAGGUUGACCGUGAGGACAGCUGGAGCGCUUGGAAGUGAGAAUGCCGGUGUGAGUAGCGCAAGAUGGGUGAGAAUCCCAUCCACCGUUUGACUAAGGGUUUCUGGGGCAGGUUCGUCCUCCCAGAGUUAGUCGGGUCCUAAGACGAGGCCGAAAGGCGUAGCCGAUGGACAACAGGUUGAUAUUCCUGUACUACCUAUAUGACUGAUGGAGUGACGGAGAAGGCUAGGAAGAGCCAGUUAAUGGAUUCUGGUCUAAGCACAAAGGUUUACAAUUAGGGAAAUCCGGUUGUAGGUAAGCUGAAGUGUGAUGGUGAAGCUACUUGUAGCGAAAUUUUCUGACGCCAAGCUUCCAAGAAAAGCUUCUAGGGCUAAUCAUAUAGGUACCCGUACCGCAAACCGACACAGGUGGUCAAGGAGAGUAUCCUAAGGUGAGCGAGAGAACCAUGGUUAAGGAACUCGGCAAAAUAACCCCGUAACUUCGGAAUAAGGGGUGGUCAUUUCGGUGACCGACACUAAAGACGCCCAGGCAACUGUUUACCAAAAACACAGGUUUCUGCCAAUUCGAAAGAAGAAGUAUAGGAGCUGACACCUGCCCAGUGCUGGAAGGUUAAGAGGAGUGCUUAGAUAGAUUGAAAAAUCGAUGAUUCGAAGGUACGAAUUGAAGCCCCAGUGAACGGCGGCCGUAACUAUAACGGUCCUAAGGUAGCGAAAUUCCUUGUCAGGUAAGUUCUGACCCGCACGAAAGGUGUAAUGAUCUGGGCACUGUCUCGACCAUGGACUCGGUGAAAUCUUAAUACCUGUGAAAAUGCAGGUUACCCGCAUCAGGACGGAAAGACCCCAUGGAGCUUUACUGUAGCUUGAUAUUGAAGUUUGGUAAGUUAUGUAGAGGAUAGGUGGGAGACUAAGAUACUGAGACGCCAGUCUCAGAGGAGUCAACCUUGGAAUACCACCCUUAGCUUAUUGAAUUUCUAACCUAGACCCAUAAACUGGGUCAGGGACAGUGUCUGGUGGGCAGUUUGACUGGGGCGGUCG